UAAAGACCUUUUUAUUUGCACUACUCUUUGGCACUACUCUUUUUAGUUAGUUGUACUCUCUCUUAUAUAAGUAGGGACCUUAAUCUGUAGAGUUGUUAGUUAUUUGCAAAAAUUGAUUCUUGUAACUGUGACUUUCUCCAUCAAAUAAUUAGCUUUACAUAUUUGAUUGAUCCAUAUUUUCAGAUUUGAGAAGGCUGUAAAAGAGGAUAUAACGCACUACCUUGUUACAUCUGCUCUAAAACUUUCAGCUUAUGGAAAGCUGUGGUGGCGCAGCACAGUUAGAGGGGAUACAAUUCCAAGUUGGUUAUUGUUUUUGUUUUGUGCA